rnacentral:tRNA from 1 species
GCCUGAGUGGCUCAGUCGGUUGAGCAUCCAACUUUGGCUCAGGUCAUGAGCUCGAGGUUCGUGGGUUCAAGCCCCGCAUCGGGCU